rnacentral:tRNA from 1 species
UGGGGGAUCGUCUAGUGGAAGGACAUCAGACUCUGGAUCUGAGAGCCCUGGUUCGAAUCCAGGUCCCCCAGCCA